GGGCACGAACCCGUGUCCCCUGCAUCGGCAGGCGGACUCUCAACCACUGAGCCACCAGGGAAGCCCCUGCGAGCUGUUUUAAGUGGCUGUUUAAACACUACUGGAGAAGCUAGCUGGAUCACUAGACAGCCUGAAGUGUGUCCUUUGCAGUGGAAGAUCACAGUGAAUCCAGUGCUAAAGGACAAACAUCUGGCAAAGCAGCCUGGAUCAGAGAGAAGAAGGCAGCAUGAGGACUUCUGCUACAGAAUGAAGGAACCUACCUCAAGAAGAUGCCAGAAGUUGAGAGGAAAUACUAAGCACUGAGCCAAAGGACAACAAUGAUUCUGUCACAAAAGCCAACACACCCCAAGAGAUUUGGGAGCCCAGCCAACCUGAACUUGGAAGCAGUGAUGAAGCUGUCGACUGCCCGAGACUUUUCAUUCUGAUUCAGUGCAAAAAUGGUGGCACAGGACAAAGUGGUACCCAACUAGGUUCUAUGAAGCCUAGGUUUCAUCUCCUGAGUAUUGUGCCAUGAACCAGGCCACAGCUUGACAAUUGAAGUUGACCUCGCAGCACUGCCCCCCAAGAAAACUGUUGACUGCAAUCUCUGACAUUAGAACCCUCUACAGUCCUUAUCUUGGACCUUUGAGACUCAAGCUGCCACAUUAUGUGAACUAUGGUCAGUAACAUACCAAUCAGUUUUAUUCACCAGGUAUCAAGCUGAGGCUGAAUAAGUAGCUUGUUAUACUUCUGAAAUUAAUAGUCAUUUUGACGAGUUAUAUUUUUCUCUUAAUUUUUUUAAAAAAUUUUCUUUAAUUGAUGAAUGCUUACUGGAUCUCUAGAGAACUGUAAGUGACUUAGGCUAGUUGGUCCAGAGUAGUAGACUGAGCCAAUAAAUUUUAACCCCUUUUUUUUUCCCCUGCUUGGCUCCUAAAUUAAGUGUUGAACAAUUAAGAGUGUCUAGUUGUUUUUUUUUUCAUUAUGUAUAAUAGUUUUUCAUGUGUAGCACCAUGUUGAUUUUGUUCUUAUAUGAACCAAUGACCUAAUAUUUACUUAAACUUAUUUAUUAAACCAUCAUAAAAGAAGAAUGAUUUAAUUUCUUAAGCCACACUGGGCUGGGGUAGAUAGUCCAGUGUAGUAUAAUAAUCUUACCCUUUAAGGUUAUCUUUUAGAAGGAUGACUUUCACUUGAAAUGUCUGUUGGCAAUAAAGAC